rnacentral:rRNA from 1 species
UACGUAGGUGGCAAGCGUUUGUCCGGAUUUAUUGGGUUUAAAGGGUGCGUAGGCGGCAUUUUAAGUCAGUGGUGAAAUACUUCAGCUUAACUGGAGAGGUGCCAUUGAUACUGGGAUGCUUGAGUACUGAUGAGGUAGGCGGAAUGGACGGUGUAGCGGUGAAAUGCUUAGAUAUCGUCCAGAACACCGAUAGCGAAGGCAGCUUACUAAGGAGUAACUGACGCUGAGGCACGAAAAGUGUGGGGGAUCAAACAGG